GAACGCUAGCGGCAGGCCUAAUACAUGCAAGUCGAACGGGAUCCAGGUGUUAGCUUGCUAACAUCUGGUGAGAGUGGCGCACGGGUGCGUAACGCGUGAGCAACCUACCCAUAUCGGGGGGAUAGCCCGAAGAAAUUCGGAUUAACACCGCAUAAGACUACGAGAUGGCAUCAUCAAGUAGUUAAAUAUUUAUAGGAUAUGGAUGGGCUCGCGUGACAUUAGCUAGUUGGUGAGGUAACGACUCACCAAGGCGACGAUGUCUAGGGGCUCUGAGAGGAGAAUCCCCCACACUGGUACUGAGACACGGACCAGACUCCUACGGGAGGCAGCAGUAAGGAAUAUUGGUCAAUGGACGGAAGUCUGAACCAGCCAUGCCGCGUGCAGGAUGACUGCCCUAUGGGUUGUAAACUGCUUUUGUCGAGGAAUAAACCUAUCUACGUGUAGAUAGCUGAAUGUACUCGAAGAAUAAGGAUCGGCUAACUCCGUGCCAGCAGCCGCGGUAAUACGGAGGAUCCGAGCGUUAUCCGGAUUUAUUGGGUUUAAAGGGUGCGUAGGCGGCACUUUAAGUCAGGGGUGAAAGACGGCAGCUUAACUGUCGCAGUGCCUUUGAUACUGAAGUGCUUGAAUGCGGUUGAAGACGGCGGAAUGAGACAAGUAGCGGUGAAAUGCAUAGAUAUGUCUCAGAACACCGAUUGCGAAGGCAGCUGUCUAAGCCGUUAUUGACGCUGAUGCACGAAAGCGUGGGGAUCGAACAGGAUUAGAUACCCUGGUAGUCCACGCCCUAAACGAUGAUAACUCGAUGUUUGCGAUAUACCGUAAGCGUCCAAGCGAAAGCGUUAAGUUAUCCACCUGGGGAAGUACGCCCGCAAGGGG
rnacentral:rRNA from 1 species